rnacentral:lncRNA from 1 species
CCCGUUUGUCCCAGAGCCCCUUCUUUUUGAUGAGAGUCUGACUCUGGGAGAAGGACUGGGCUUCAAGGAACACAUAAAAAACAACAACCCAAGAGGUGCUGGUCCAGGCUCCAGACAUACAGAGAAGAAUGAAGCAUAAUCCCUGCCCUGAAGGGUUUCACAGCCUGUUGAUCAGGAAGACAUGUGGAAAGAUACAUAAUAACACCAAAUAUCGCAGGAGCACUGGUCAGAUGCUGGGUGGUUGCCAGACAAGCGAGCCAGAGGAACACGAAGGCCCUGCCAUCGAGGAGCGUGCCAGAUCUCAGGGCCCCUAGACCAGGAGUCCUUCAGGGGGGCCUGCCACACUCCUCAUGUUUCAAAAUGAAUUUCCAUGCUUAACAUUACACCGUCUGUCAAGUUCAAAGAGGCUUCGUGUUUUGUUUGAAACCGGGUCUCGUUGUGUCGCCCAGGUUGGAGUGCAGUGGCACGACCUCAGCUCAUUGCAGCCUUGACCUCCUGGGCUCAAGGGAUCCUCCCACCUCAGCCCCCCAAGUAGCUGGGACUACAGGUAUGUCCCACCACACCUGGCUAAUUUUUGUAUUUUUUGUAGAGAUGGGGUUUUGCCAUGUUGCCCAGGCAGAUUGGUCUUGCACUCCUGAGCUCAAGCAAUCCUCCUGCCUCAGCCUCCCAAAGUGUUGUGAUUACAGGUGUGAGCCACUGUGCCUGGCUGCAGAAGAUUUUUUUUGAUUAAGCCCAUCUC